rnacentral:antisense_RNA from 1 species
UUUCAUGGCGGCCGCGCGCGGGCAGACUUCGGUCUGGCCGAGUUUUCCUUUGCUUCCUCGGUUUCUCACCCCGCGCACGGCUGCCACCUAA